CUGGUUGAUGCUGUCCAUAAGAAAAUUAACAUGGCCAACUGUCGCCAGAAUUCUUGCUACCCUUCCUCCGAUUUUAGGUAUGUAGUGGACAAAACGUACAACAGAGGGCAGGAGAAGCAUUCCUAUCAUGUUCCCUAUCAAGUACUGCGUCCGACCAACCGUCCGCCAAUGUUCGUGGAAUGUUUGUGUCUUCUCGACGUCGUAAUUGUUCGUAAUGUUUGGGAAAUUUUCCGUAAAAAAUGUCGUUGAUGAAAGAAAAGAAGAAGAGGCACGAUACAAACUGUUUUAUUUAUGGAUGUGUUGAAUAUGACGAAAACUAUGUCGGUCAUGAGGAUUGGGAAAAAUUGAUUCCCAUGUCUGGGUUUCUACUUGCAAAUUGGCUCUCAUAUCUGUGGUCGUAAUUUUGGCAUCAAACCUCAGGAUGAUCUUCUUUCGAAUCUCUUAAUUGCUCCUAAGCUAAGAGAGUUAGGCAAGAAAUGAUCAUAGCCAUUUACUGGCCCAGUAAAUGUAACCUGUUUGCCAAUUGCUACAAUGGAAAUCAUCGUUCUCAUGCUUCAAAGAAAGGUACUUGUAUUGGAUGUUUUAUAAUCAAAGCAUUAAUUGAUACUAAUUUUCUGCAGACAUACCCAUAAAUUCAACUAGUCCUUGUGAAUACUGUGAUGGAUGAUUCUCAUCUCGGCAUAAGGAUUAGCUUCUCUCAACCUGCUCAUUUAUCCUACUUAACUCUCAACUGAACACAAAACUUCAAGCAUGAGCUCAUUCCUCAAAAGACUUGUUAAGAGAACAACUAAUAUUUUCCAAAGUAAGCUCUGAAGAAGCAAUUCAACAAAUGAGCCAACAGAUGACCACUUCUACAAUUGAGAAAUGCACAUCAAUGGCGUGGAAACCUUCUUGCAAGGUUGACGAAAAAUGCAACUCGAAGCAAAGGUGCGUGAUAUGCAGAUGAUGGUAUCACUCAAUUUUUCGGUUGUCGAGAGGCUAUGAAAAUGCCUUCAAAAAACAUAUUCUUAAACUUCUAAACCUAAAUUGGCAGAUACAUUAUGUUCUGCACCAGGCCAUUUCCAAUUUGCCACUUCUACAUAGCACUCUUCGAAUCUUUUGAGUGUACUAUUGUUUUUUAAAAUAUAAAUUUUGUUGCAUUACAAA